rnacentral:rRNA from 1 species
GACGUAGGGCGCGAGCGUUGUCCGGAUUUAUUGGGCGUAAAGAGCUCGUAGGCGGCUCAUUGCGUCAACCGUGAAAACCAGCAGCUCAACUGUUGGCUUGCGGUUGAUACGGGUGGGCUGGAGUUCGGUAGGGGAGACUGGAAUUCCUGGUGUAGCGGUGAAAUGCGCAGAUAUCAGGAGGAACACCGGUGGCGAAGGCGGUUCUCUGGGCAUUACCUGACGCUGAGGAGCGAAAGUGUGGGGAGCGAACAGG